UACGGGGGGGGCAAGCGUUGUUCGGAAUUACUGGGCGUAAAGGGCUCGUAGGCGGCUAACUAAGUCAGACGUGAAAUCCCUCGGCUUAACCGGGGAACUGCGUCUGAUACUGGAUGGCUCGAGUUUGGGAGAGGGAUGCGGAAUUUCAGGUGUAGCGGUGAAAUGCGUAGAUAUCUGGAGGAACACCGGUGGCGAAGGCGGCAUCCUGGACCAAUACUGACGCUGAAUAGCGAAAGCCAGGGGAGCAAACGGG
rnacentral:rRNA from 1 species